UACGGGGGGUGCAAGCGUUACUCGGAAUCAUUGGGCGUAAAGGGCGCGUAGGCGGCCAGGCAAGUCAGGUGUGAAAGCCCGGGGCUCAACCUCGGAAGUGCAUUUGAUACUGCUUGGCUUGAGUAUGGGAGAGGGAAGUGGAAUUCCUGGUGUAGAGGUGAAAUUCGUAGAUAUCAGGAGGAACACCGGUGGCGAAGGCGACUUCCUGGACCAAUACUGACGCUGAGGCGCGAAGGCGUGGGGAGCAAACAGG
rnacentral:rRNA from 1 species